rnacentral:rRNA from 1 species
GCGCCCGUGCGGACCCCAUCGGGGUGAAGCGCGGGUGACUGAGUGGCGGACGGGUGAGUAACGCGUGGGCAACCUGCCCCGUACCGGGGGACAACAGCCGGAAACGGCUGCUAAUACCGCAUAUGCGCACAGUGCCGCAUGGCACCGUGCGGAAAACUCCGGUGGUACGGGAUGGGCCCGCGUCCGAUUAGCAGGUUGGUGGGGUAACGGCCUACCAAGGCGACGAUCGGUAGCCGGCCUGAGAGGGCGGCCGGCCACAUUGGGACUGAGACACGGCCCAGACUCCUGCGGGAGGCAGCAGUGAGGGAUAUUGCACAAUGGGGGGAACCCUGAUGCAGCGACGCCGCGUGGGCGAUGGAGCGUUUCGGCGCGUAAAGCCCUAUCAGCAGGGAAGAGAAUGGACGGUACCUGACUAAGAAGCCCCGGCUAACUACGUGCCAGCAGCCGCGGUAAUACGUAGGGGGCAAGCGUUAUCCGGAUUCACUGGGCGUAAAGGGAGCGCAGGCGGCACGGCAAGUCCGGUGUGAAAGCCCGGGGCCCAACCCCGGGACUGCACUGGAAACUGCCGGGCUGGAGUGUCGGAGGGGCAGGCGGAAUUCCUGGUGUAGCGGUGAAAUGCGUAGAUAUCAGGAGGAACACCGGUGGCGAAGGCGGCCUGCUGGACGAUGACUGACGCUGAGGCUCGAAAGCGUGGGGAGCAAACAGGAUUAGAUACCCUGGUAGUCCACGCCGUAAACGAU